rnacentral:lncRNA from 1 species
ACUUAGUAUCUUUAACUUUAGUCUACAAAAUUAACUUUUGUAAUUACUAUUACUACUUUAAUAAUAACUUAGGCUAUUCAGAUAAAUUUUAAGUUAUAGAAGCUUUUGAUUUCCUCUUUAAUUACUUUAUCAGCAAUAAAUAAUAGGCAAUGAUCAAUUAGGAACUCCUUUUGCCAAAGUUUUAUUCCAUGUUAUCUCCCUCUGUGUUCUUUCCUCAAGUUAUUGUUCAACCUAACUUAUCUCAUUCAAUCUACUUCUCCUUAUAAUUCUUUACCUUAAUAUCUAAUUUCUUCUAGUCUAUCUCUAUUCUUUUGUUUCUCAUCUAAAUUUCCUCUAUUUCUGAAUUAGCUUUCCUAGCAGUUAGCUUAGACACUACUUAUCCUACAUCAACUGGCAUAAGUAUCAAUCACCGAAUCCUAUGAUUUCACAUCCUUAUAAUAACUUAAGAAAGAAAAUAGAGAGAUGACAGGGAUUAAAACAUUAGAAAAGGAAUUCGGAAUUCAUUACCGGAUCAAAUAGGGUGGGUGGAAGAGGGUAUUAAUAAGAUUAGAGGAAAUUUAGAAAAGGAAUUCUGGGUAUAAUUUAGAAAAGGAAUUCUGAAUUCAUCACCGGAUCCCAUGAUUUCACAUCCUUAUAUUGUGCUCCCAAUGAAUUCAAAACAAUUGGCUCUCAUGAAGUGUGGAAAGAAAAAAAUAGGAGAAUAGAUG